GUAGGAUUCAUGACUGGGGUGAAGUCGUAACAAGGUAGCCGUAUCGGAAGGUGCGGCUGGAUCACCUCCUUUUAGA
rnacentral:rRNA from 1 species